ACGCUCGACACCUACGAGAGGCAGCAGUGGGGAAUAUUGCACAAUGGGGGAAACCCUGAUGCAGCGACGCCGCGUGAGUGAAGAAGUAUUUCGGUAUGUAAAGCUCUAUCAGCAGGGAAGAAGAUGACGGUACAUGAGUAAGAAGCCCCGGCUAACUACGUUCCAGCAGCCGCGGUAAUCUGAGCGGGCUGGCAAGGC
rnacentral:rRNA from 1 species